GCUGCCAAGGCUGAGAUCCUGCAGCUCACAGAGCGCGCUGCAAAGGGCGAGGCCGACUUCGCAGCGCAGGAGCAGGAGCU
rnacentral:SRP_RNA from 1 species